AUUUCUUCAAACUUAUGAUUAAAAUUCCCCAAAAAAUAUCCUGACAAAUCAAGAAAAUCUGUAAAAUCUAAUUUAAAUCUUAUUUCAAAGUCUUUUGAAUUCCUUUUAAAAUUUUAGUUCUGGAAAAUUUAGAAGAAAUAAUGAUUGGUCUUUGUUAGAAAUAUAGCUUGGUCCAAUUUGUUAUAUAUUCUAACAAAGUGCAGAUUGGAUUUCAACCUAUUUAAAACAUGUCAUCACAAUUCUAAAAUAAUCUUAAUCAAGAAAAAUGACUAAUGAUGUUCCAUAAAUUAUUUUUUUAAUUUUUUCAACAAGAUUCAAAUUAGCUAGAUUUUGUCUUCAUUUUUUUUGGUUGAAUUUUGAAUUUUAAAGAGUUGAAAUUGAAGAUAAACUAUGUUUCAAAAUUUAAUUGUCAUUUUUUUGUGUUUUCUCCUCUUUUGAACCAUUCAAUUAAGCAUUUUUUUCAUCAUUUAUUCUCUACAAAAAACCUUCUGUAAAAGGGAACAUAAAUGGACGACGGAAUGACAGACAGAAAUACCCUUGUUUUUUUUUUUUUAAAUGUAUAUAUAGAUUUAUUUAUUAAAAGUAAAUUGAGCAAAUUGGCUAUUUCUGGCAAUUUAUUGAAGUGUGUAUCAAACUGGUAGCCCUUGGCACGAAUCAGUAGCCAAGAAGUAGCUCUUGCUUUCAAACAGGUUGCUGACCCCUGCUGUAGAUGAUGUCACAGUCUAAUUUGCAUAAUUAGCCAUGAUGCAUGUACAUGCAUGAAAUAAUAAUGGACGCGGUUGAAGGGAGGAAUAACUUGGAAGCGAUAAAUGUAGCUAAAAACAUAAACAAGCAAAACAAAACUACCUUUUCACAUAUGAACCCAUGCGCUUGUCAAUGGUACCACAACUUUUGCAGGUGUGUUUUAUGUGUUCAAGGUCCACUUCUUCUAUCUGGAUUUCUUACACCUCUGAGUCUAAUUUGCAAGUGUCAGCCUUGUUUUUUGAUUGAUUGAUUGAUUGAUACUUUUAUUAGUAGAUAGCACAGUACAGUACAUAUUCCCUACAAUUGACCACUAAAUGCCAAUAAGUUUUUCAACUUGCUUAAGUCAGGGUCCAUGUAAAGUACUAUCUAAUGUUAUCUAAUGUUAAUCAAUUCAUCACUCACAGUUUGGUUAUGUUUUAGUUUCCCCUCUGUGCUUUGUUUCCUGUCAGCGCUUUUAUUUUGGUUGAGUUUCCUGCUUGUCUCCCUGAGCGCUGUUUUCCCUCACCUGUUCCUAAUUGUCAGUCUGGCACACCUGGCGGCAAUUGCCAAUCAGGCUCCUAUUUAUACCUGCCCCUCCCUCCAGUCAGUGCUGGAGUAUUACUACCUGUAGACUGUUUUCUCGAUUCCUGGUUUGUGUUUUUCCUGCAUUUUUGGGACAUUAAAAAUCAUGUCUUCCUGUAUUGACAGCAAGUAUUAUACAGUAGACUUUGCAUGCAGUUGCAAUUCCAAGGCAUUAGAUGGCAGUGUUGUAUAGGCUACGGUGUGUUGGCCAAUCAGGAAGUAGUCUUUGCUGUUAUGCGGAAUGUGCUAGUCCAAUCUUAUGCGGAGCCCUACAAAGUGUCAUACUGUAAAUGUACUUAUUACCAUCAGUUUGAUCGAGCAUCUUAGUUGUUUUGAUUGCCCAAUCUGGAGGUGUUGAAAUCGCCAUGUAAAAUCACUAAUGCUAAUCAUUAGCCUGUCUAUGGCGUUUCUAGUGUAAACUAGCAUCGAGUUAGCACUUUUUAAAACAGAUGCGCCUUCAUUUUUGAGGGCUUUGUAUGUUUGAUUUGUUGGCACGGAACAAUAAGUACCACUGCUGUGUUGCUGAGUCCGCUCUGAACACUGCUGAGUGCUUGUUUCCUCACCAAGUGUUUGAGCUGAUGUUUGGUCUGGACCCGGAUGUGCAACAACGGUAUCAAAAUGUGAUACGGCUUACAUACUGUACUGACGGAAUUCAGUUGAUACCUAAUCUAGCACCCAUUCCUGUUGAGAAAUACAUAUGUUCUUUUUGCCGUUUGAGCUCUGAAUACUUGCCAGAUCCUGCCUGCUGCUGUCUUUAAAAAGUUGCAUACUGCCACCUGCUGCAUGGAAAUGUAACAACAAGCUAAAAUCACGCCAAAUGUGUCUGUGGCGGACCGUUGUAGGAAUGAGAAACACUACAGGUGAUCAUACUUGCCAACCUUGAAACCUCCGAUUUCGGGGGGGGGUAGCGUGGUCGGGGAGUGGUUAUAUUUACAGCUAUCCAUCCAUCCAUUUUCUACCGCCUAUUCCUUUUGGGGUCGCGGGGGAUGCUGGUGCCUAUCUCAGCUACAAUCGGGCGGAAGGCGGGUUACACCCUGGACAAGUCGUCACCUCAUCGCAGUAUGUGUAGAAAUCUUCAUUUAUAAUUGAAUCACUUGUUUAUUUUUCAAAAAGUUUUUAGUUAUUUUUAUAUCCAUCCAUCCAUUCAUUUCUACCGCGUAUUCCCUUUUGGGGUCGUGGGGGGCGCUGGUGCCUAUUUCAGCUACAGUCGGGCGGAAGGCGGCGUACACCCUGGACAAGUCACCACCUCAUCGGAGUAUUUUUAUAUCUUUUUUUCCAAAUAGUUCAAGAAAGACCACUACAAAUGAGCAAUAUUUUGCACUGUUAUACAAUUUAAUAAAUCAUAAACUGAUGACAUAGUGCUGUAUUUUACUUCUUUAUCUCUUUUUUUUUUUUUUAAUCAAAAAUGCUUUGCUCUGAUUAGGGGGUACUUGAAUUAAAAAAUGUUGACAGGGGGUACAUCACUGAAAAAAGGUUGAAAACCACAGCUCUAAAAGCCGUAGAUAUUAUUGUCACAUAUGUACAGUACAUGGCAGUAUUGUCCUGUUUAAGAGUGUCACAACAUUGCUGUUUACGGCAUACAAAAAAACGUGACUGCUGUUGUUGUGUGUUGUUGCCGCGCUGGGAGGACGUUAAUGAGACUGCCUAACAAUAAACCCACAUAAGAAACCAAGAACUCUCCCUCGAUCAUUCUACAGUUAUAACAUCAUUGGGCAGACAGGCUGUUUAUAUUGUGGGAAAGCGGACGUGAAAACAGGCUGUCGACACGUCACUCGGGUCCGCAUGGAGCUGGAAGGGGCGUGGCCUCCAGCUCCGCCUGAAUUUCAGGAGAAAAUUUGUCCAGGGAGGUUUUCGGGAGAGUGGCUGAAUUUCGGGAGUCUCCCGGAAAAUCCCGGAGUGUUGGCAAGUAUGCAGGUGAGUACCAAGUGCUCGAGGUCACUCGAAUCUGACAGCUUAGUCUUCACAUUUAUUUCUACAAUUUGUAUUUUCUCACCUGAGGAGCAGAAGGUACCACCAGGUCCUGGACACUUCAUGGUCGUUUUGAACGGCAGAGCUCCAGGAACACUCCAGCAGUGCAGGUAGGUAGACAUCCUGCUGGCUUGGAUGGCGACCAGGUUGCCUCCCACACCUGCUUUGACAAGCGGCGUCAGUGUUUGAUAUGCAACAGCAAACACAGACAAGACUGUAAAAGUACAUGGAACAGGUUUUACCAUCAAGGUUAAUGUUCUGCAAUAUUCAUGUACUCUGUUCUCCUCUGAGUAACCCUAGAACGGCCAUUAAGCGAUGCCCUAGUGGCUCCCUGGAGAUUUUUCAAAAAUGUAUUUGUCACAACUUGGCUUGGACAUGGAUUGUUUCUUCGACGCAGAUGAGAAUCAGCAUGACCGAGGCGUGGACGUGAGUACAUGUUUUAAUUAUAUAAUAUAUACAAAACAGGGAAAACAAAAACACUUGCUCAAUGGCAUGAAAUACAAUUUAACUAUAAACUUCAACAGCACGAUGGCAAGACUAAAGACAUGAAACAAAAGAGUGCACUGUGGCAUAAAUACAAAACUUACGUGGAUGAAAAUGAAGAGUGUAGCAAGGCAUGAAGCAGAUAAACGAGGGCGUGAAGAAGGUGCAUCAUGGGUAGCGUGUGUGAAGAUCCCAGAAAGUGACUUAAGUAGCUGUGAUGAUUAUUGAAAACAGGUGAGGCUGAGAACAGGGACGUGACAUGACAGGUGAAAAGUAAUGAGUUGGCAUGGAAACAAACAAAACCAGGAAGUGCAAAACGUGACUGAAUGUCCAAAAUCAAAACAUAACAAGAUCCAUAGGUGUGACAAUUAAAAAGGAAAAAAUUGGAUCAAACUCCACACAGAAAGAACCCGAGCACGGGAUUGAAUCUAGGACUACUCAGGACCUUCGUAUUGGGAGGCAGACGCACUAACCCUAAUCCAAAUUCCAAAAUAUGAUUAUUCUAAUUUGGAAAAAAAAGCUCUACUUAUAACACAAUUCCCGGUCAACGUUUUGUUGGGAUAGCUUAGCAUAUAUUGGCCUACUCUGGAAUGGUUUUAACAUAUUUAAAGCACAAAUUGUAUCAGAAUGUCAUUCCUCCAACUUUUCAGCCUUCCAACUUGCUUUUGACAUUAAGAAAAACGAAAAAAAGAAUGUGACAGAUUAAAGUUACAUUUGUAUUCAUCAAUAUGUUUUGUAAGGACUGGUGGGCAUCGAGGUGCCGGGUUCGAUUCCCUCGAGGAUGCGUUGACGUGAAAACAACAAAGGAUCAGACCACCAAGACUGGAGAAACAUCAGCACGGGAGUCCCAUGAAUGCUGGGUGUUGUCCGGGCAGAGAGAAGGAAAGAAAGCAGCUCACCUGCUGAUGGACAUGGCCAAGAUCACCGGCUGCCAGCCUGACCUCAAGACCUCUGUGACGGGCGGAGACUGGCGGGCGACGAGCACGCAGACCGGCACCAGAAGCAGGAAGAAGCCACACACCGCAGGAGCACAGGAAGAAGCUGCUGAUCCCCGCCAGUAAAGACAAAGUGAUGAGGUCACCCAGGCUCGCAGCGAUGGGCGUGGCUACGUUAUCUGGGUUGAUGCCCACUCUCCUGGAGCACACGAUCACCGCCACCAUCACCAAACCUGGCCAAGGACAAGAUGAAGAUGAUGACCAGCUGCUGAGGCUGCUCCAGCUGCCCGGUGUUGGCCUGUGGGUUGGAGGAGCAGAGUUGUUCUGCACAUGAGAAAAGAGGACAAAGGUUUCUUCACACCUCAACACAACUGAUGGUCCCAACCCCAGUGAUUAUACAAGAAAUUCCACUAAUCAACCCUGUCAAGGCACACCUGUGAAGUUGAGAACCAUUUCAGGUGAACUACCUCUUGAAGCUCAAGGAGAGAAUGCCAAGAGUGUGCAGAAAAGUAAUCAGCAAAGGGUGGCUAUGUUAAA